UAAAAUUAAGCAAUAAMCGAAAGUUUGACUAAGUUAUGCAACAUCACAUAGGGUUGGUAAAUUUCGUGCCAGCCACCGCGGUCAUACGAUUAACCCUAAUUAAUAAAACCCGGCGUAAAGAGUGUUAAAACUAUAAGAACAAUAAGAUUAAAUUUUAUCUAAGUCGUAAAAAACAACAGAUAAAAAUAAGACCAUAAACGAAAGUAAUCUUAAUAAACCUGAAUACACUAAAGCUAAGACCCAAACUGGGAUUAGAUACCCCACUAUGCUUAGCCAUAAACACAGAUAUUUAAUAACAAAAAUUUUCGCCAGAGUACUACUAGCAACAGCUUAAAACUCAAAGGACUUGGGGGUGCUUUAAACCCACCUAGAGGAGCCUGUUCUAUAAUCGAUAAACCCCGAUACACCUCACCACUUCUUGCUAAUCCAGUCUAUAUACCGCCAUCUCCAGCAAACCCCAACAGGGACUAAAAGUAAGCACAACUAUGCUCGUAAAAACGUUAGGUCAAGGUGUAACUAAUGAAGUGGAAAGCAAUGGGCUACAUUUUCUUUCCCCCAAGAAAAUAAUAACAGUAAUCUUUAUGAAACUAAUGAUUUAAGGAGGAUUUAGUAGUAAAUUGAGAAUAGAGAGCUUAAUUGAAUUAG
rnacentral:rRNA from 1 species